GAUGAACGCUAGCGGGAGGCUUAACACAUGCAAGUCGAGGGGCAGCAUAGGGUAGCAAUACUCUGAUGGCGACCGGCAAACGGGUGAGUAACGCGUAUGUAACCUACCCUGUACAGGGGGAUAACCCGGAGAAAUUCGGACUAAUAUCCCAUAACAAUAUCCGGGGGCAUCUUUGGAUAUUUAAAGUUCCGGCGGUACGGGAUGGGCAUGCGUAACAUUAGCUAGUUGGUAAGGUAACGGCUUACCAAGGCUUUGAUGUUUAGGGGUCCUGAGAGGGUGGUCCCCCACACUGGUACUGAGACACGGACCAGACUCCUACGGGAGGCAGCAGUGAGGAAUAUUGGUCAAUGGGCGCAAGCCUGAACCAGCCAUCCCGCGUGCAGGAAGACGGCGCUAUGCGUUGUAAACUGCUUUUCCAGGGAGAGAAACUUGCGCACGUGUUGCGCAAUUGACGGUACCCUGGGAAUAAGCAUCGGCUAACUCCGUGCCAGCAGCCGCGGUAAACUAGU
rnacentral:rRNA from 1 species